AGAGCUAUGACCGAAUGUUAGGAACCACUUUGAUAGAGUGAUCUAUGGGGGUUAGAAUCCCCCUAGCUCUU
rnacentral:tRNA from 1 species